GAAACACCAUUAUUUAAUCAAAAUAGACUUUUACUUUUAAAUUAAAGAAAUUUAAAAAGUACACAUACAGUGUUGGGAUCAUGAGCUUGUAAUCAUAACCCCAACACUGCAUGCAUUCACCCCUGGCGGGGCGCGUGCCACAGUGGGCCACCUUUGUGGGACAGCCAGAUCUGGUGUGGGCUAGGAGCCUCUGGCACUCUGAGGCGCCCUUGGCCUACAGGCUUGCCGGGACCGUGCUCCCGCCCACUGGAUCAAGAUGGAGGAGGAACAGGAAAAAGGGCGACCGCUGGCGUUUCAGAUCCAGGGAGAUUUCUAGCAGUCCUUCACCCUUUUGGCAGGUGCUUUACGGGUGCUUAUCCUUAAGUUAGAAGUCAUUCCUGGUCUCUGCUUUUCCUGAACUGGACUCAGCAGCCCUCCAAGUACAAUUUUUAGAGACCAACUGGAAAAAGAAAGAACUGAAAGCUUCUAAGAAACAUCUGUCUUCAGAGGAAGGAGAGAGGAACUCCUGUCAGAGAUGGCCAUGGUCCUUCAUUUGUUACUCUACCAUUCCAGUCCUAUAGAAGUAUCAGGGCAGCUAAAAUGGAAUACUGCUAUGAAAAUUCAACAAAAUUGAUAAAAUGUGAAGAAAUUGAUUGGAAUAGCUUUCCAGAGGUUAACUUGAAUUAUAAAGUAAUAGUAGUUGUUGAAUAAAGAAGAGCAGGUAAUUGUAAGGCUUUUUCUCGCGUGUGGGAUAGAUGGAGGAGGAGAAUUGGAUUUCUUGGACUGUGCUUGAGAAUUAAGUUAAGGAUGGAGGUACAGAAGAGAUGAGAGAUGACACAAGGUAUAUUUCAAUGGAAAAGUAAUAGUUAAUAUGUGCUUGCUUCUGGGGAUAACUGGAAGCCAGAGGCCUAGGAAUGAAUUAAGGAGAAAGAAAGUCAUAGCCUGCAUGAAUUUACGAAAGUAAGAAAAGCUAACUAAGGAUGUUCCUGUUAUAUUUCAAUCCACGGAAGCGGUAGAGCUGAUUCAAAGGAUACACAAAUUAUGAUAGAAGAAAAAAACCUGGAAUUGACUCAUAGUUUCUUUGUCCCAAAGUAGUGUAUUUUCUUUUUUAAAAUUAGAACUCAGGCCACUAAAUUUGUUAUUGUGCUAAAACUAGGAACAGAAUUGGAUUAUCUCCUGGUUUUGACUUUCUCCUUGGGAAUAAACUUUUACUACAAAGUAGAUUGUGGCAUAUAGUAACGGUAUUUUUAUUGUACAGCUCGUUGGUUUGUAUUAAAUUCCCACCCCAAGAUCUGCCUUCUUUUUACAAGGAAACAUUGUUCUAUGGGAUUGUGUGUUUAGAUAUGCAUUUAAAACAUGUCUACCACCUUAGGAGAAAAAAUAGCCUCUGAGAUUUGGACCACACAUUGUUGGUACAGAAGCUGAAGAUGAUGUUUUCAUUUACCUCACAAAAUGCCACGCUUUUCUGUGUUUAAUUUCUAUUUCCUUCUUUCCCUCUACUUUUCACCCUUUUUGCAUAGUUAAAUCUUCAAAUCUGGUAAAAAAAAAAAAAAAACAAAACCUCAACCCCACUACAUUUAUUCUAAAUUCACGAGGAUUGUAUUUACUUAAAAAAAUACUUCUUUCAGGAUUGACACAGUACUUCUGCUUUCAGUAAAUCCAACAAUACUCAGUGUUACUGGAUGUUGGAUGGUAGCUUCACAGCAUUAAGAAUGCAGCAUGCAGCAUGAUGAAGAUCAAAAUGACUUACGCAGGCUUGAGCAGCUGUGCUGCCCAUAGGGUCAGGCAUUCUAGUUGGUGUGAUGAAACGUUUAUAAAUUAAACCAUUCAUGUGCAUUUUGUAUUGAUUUUCUAACAUACAAAAUGAGUGUCUUACCAGCAGAAUAAAAUACAAUAAAAUAUGUGUUUUUUUAAAUUGUGGGA
ensembl:lncRNA